UACAGAGGUCUCAAGCGUUGUUCGGAUUCAUUGGGCGUAAAGGGCGCGUAGGCGGCCUUCUAAGUCGAACGUGAAAUCCCCGGGCUCAACCCGGGAACUGCGUCCGAUACUGGAAGGCUUGAAUCCGGGAGAGGGAUGCGGAAUUCCAGGUGUAGCGGUGAAAUGCGUAGAUAUCUGGAGGAACACCGGUGGCGAAGGCGGCAUCCUGGACCGGCAUUGACGCUGAGGCGCGAAAGCGUGGGGAGCAAACAGG
rnacentral:rRNA from 1 species